rnacentral:tRNA from 1 species
GGCGCAAUGGCGAAGUAGCAAACGCAUCGGUCUGCAAAACCGACAUUCGCGGGUGCAAGUCCCGCUUGCGCCUCAA